ACUGCAUACUUGAGUGGCAGAAAUUAAAGUUGCUAGCUAGUGAGCAAAAAUGAAUACUAAUUCUAGCUGCUCCUGAGUCCAGAGAGCGGCACACUCCAUCUCAGUGAAGUAGCUCUUUCUGAGAUUCCUCAUCCGUGGGGCUUUUCAGUUAAUCAAGAGAGUAUGUCCAGGCUAGUCUACUUAGGCAAGGUCGAGGCAAGAGGAAGCUAAAUGGCUCUGCCUGAAAAGAGAAGACAGGAAUUUUUAAAGUGGGCAAAACAAGAAUGAUAAUAGGCAUGUCUCAAGGUUGCUGUGUGGACCAGCUAAAGCCCUAUGUAAGAAAGCACUUCACAUACAGAAGAGGGGCCUACAAAUUUGAGAACUAGUCCAGCAUAUUCUGGUUGGGUUCACCUUCUCUCUGAUCAUCCACCAUUGGCCACCUUUGGGUGACAUCUCACGGCUGAAUAAGCUGAAAAUGACAUUAUUCUGAACCAUCAAUAUCUCCCGAUUUAAAAAUGUCUUCCCUCCGUCUUCUCUUUUUUCAUCUCUACUCCCAUCACCAUCUCACUGAAGUUGUACAACAUCAUGCAGUCAUUUAUAUUCACCUAUUUAAAAUAAAAACCUAAUCAUACCAAGCAGAAGAAAAA
ensembl:lncRNA LINC02223 long intergenic non-protein coding RNA 2223